rnacentral:rRNA from 1 species
GAUGAACGCUGGCGGCGUGCCUAAUACAUGCAAGUCGAGCGAACAGACGAGGAGCUUGCUCCUCUGACGUUAGCGGCGGACGGGUGAGUAACACGUGGAUAACCUACCUAUAAGACUGGGAUAACUUCGGGAAACCGGAGCUAAUACCGGAUAAUAUAUUGAACCGCAUGGUUCAAUAGUGAAAGACGGUUUUGCUGUCACUUAUAGAUGGAUCCGCGCCGCAUUAGCUAGUUCGUAAGGUAACGGCUUACCAAGGCAACGAUGCGUAGCCGACCUGAGAGGGUGAUCGGCCACACUGGAACUGAGACACGGUCCAGACUCCUACGGGAGGCAGCAGUAGGGAAUCUUCCGCAAUGGGCGAAAGCCUGACGGAGCAACGCCGCGUGAGUGAUGAAGGUCUUCGGAUCGUAAAACUCUGUUAUUAGGGAAGAACAAAUGUGUAAGUAACUAUGCACGUCUUGACGGUGCCUAAUCAGAAAGCCACGGCUAACUACGUG